GAAAGCCGUAUGAAGGAAAACUUCACGUACGGUUUGAUGAGGAGGUAGGGGAAACCGGGAAACUAGGCGCCUCUUCCUUACUCUACGAAAGCCGUAUGAAGGAAAACUUCACGUACGGUUUGAUGAGGAGGUAGGGGAAACCGGGAAACUAGGCGCCUCUUCCUUACUCUAC
rnacentral:autocatalytically_spliced_intron from 1 species